rnacentral:misc_RNA from 1 species
UGAACAGGAGCCGAGAAACUUAUGUUUGUGACUCUGCUCUUAAGCUUGUCUCAACAAUUAUAGCCAUUUUUAUUGUACUAUUUUUGUGCUGAAAAUGAACCGUUAAGGUGAUAUAGACAAAUCUGUGUGCUGGGUGAGGGGUGUCUCCUCAUCCCUUGGCUUUGUAGCUGACAAAGAUGGAAAGCUAUUUUAGACAGGCGGCUAGUCAAACGUUGUAAUGCAACCGUGACUCUACUUUUAAUCCAUUGGCAAGGUUCCUCCCCUGCUGAUGCUACUUGGGAAUAUGCUGAUGAGAUACAGUUGUGCUUUCCUUUCUUUUCCUUGGGGACAAGGAUUCCUGGGAAGGGAUUAUUGUUACAGACGAAACGGUACGUGUAGAGGAAUGAUGUUGGCGGGC